rnacentral:misc_RNA from 1 species
GUGUAUGAUUGCGAUAUUCAAUUUGGAAUUCCCUUCUUUCUCCAUCUCCUUUUUGCUUCUAGGAACUCUGGAAUCUAACAAUGAUCCUCCUUUUCAACUAUGCGUAGCUUGGGCGUUCACUCAAAGCAAACUGGGAGAGUUGAGGAAAUGCAAAAGUACGAAUAUUGAUAGCAAAACAAAGAAAGGAAACAGAAGGAGGGUAGAAAAGUGUUAAGAAGAAGUUAUGGGGUGGUGGAGGGGAGUCUGACGGAAUAUCAAGGAGGUUAGCGCGGUGGUUCCUUCGCCGCCGAGAGUGGUAGACUGCCUCGAAUUUAGCGGGCAG